CAGUAGCGCACGCAGGGGGGGUUUCUGAGUACCCAGAAACCCCCCCACAGACUUUUUUUUUUUUUUUUGUCGGAGAUGGAGACAGCUUUGUCUCCGUCUCUGCACCAGCCCUGUGCCACCCGCAAUCGGAGGUCCCCGGCCACUGAUGGUUCAGCUGUCAGUGCUUCCGCGUCAGGUGACUUUUAUAUCCAAGCCGCCUGACGCGUCGCAGAGCACUGAUAGCCAAACAAGCAGUGGCCGGGGAGCUUCAGCGCGCCGCUAUCGCAGCUCCGAGGUUUAAGUGCUAGGGAAGAUAUGCCCCGGCAAGGUCCGCAGGGUUACGGAUGUCUGCCGCUACUGUAGCAGCUGUACACACACACAUCAAAGACAAGUUGCUCUAUGUGUCAAUUAACUGCCAGACAAGUCUGCAGUAGAGUCACCGCCUUUCACCAGAGUUCAUGUUCUCAGCUGAUUAGCUGACUGUACAGUACAGUAUUCUCAGAGAUGCCAUAUCAGGAUUCUUAUCUCAUUCUGGCCAGAGGAGUACAGGGAACUCCUAUGCCUCGCAGAUCAUGCUGAGAAAGGGGACAUUUAGACUGUUUGAGCCGGAUCAAGUGGCAAACAGGCAAUCUCAUUGCUUUAUAACGAAAUACUAAAGUCUAAGGAGAAUGUACUCAAUGAAAUAAAUACCAUGAAAGCAGAUAGCAAUAAAAGAAAAAUAAAGUUUACUUAACUUUUA